GAUAUACUCCCUCCGUCCGAAAAUACUUGUCAUGGAAAUGGAUGUAUCUAGAUGUAUUUUAGUUUUAGAUACAUACAAUUUUAUCUAUUUGUGCGACAAGUAUUUCCGGACGAAGGGAGUACAAU
rfam:Triticum aestivum genome assembly, contig: Triticum_aestivum_CS42_TGACv1_scaffold_514915_6BS